rnacentral:rRNA from 1 species
AAUCCUACGGGAGGCAGCAGUGGGGGAUAUUGGACAAUGGGGGAAACCCUGAUCCAGCGAUGCCGCGUGAGGGAAGAAGGUUUUCGGAUUGUAAACCUCUGUGGAGGGGGACGAUAAUGACGGUACCCCUUUAGGAAGCCACGGCUAACUACGUGCCAGCAGCCGCGGUAAUACGUAGGUGGCGAGCGUUGUCCGGAAUUACUGGGUGUAAAGGGAGUGUAGGCGGGAAAGCAAGUCAGAAGUGAAAACUAUGGGCUUAACUUGUAGACUGCAGUUGAAACUGGUUUUCUUGAGUG